rnacentral:rRNA from 1 species
GACGAACGCUGGCGGCGUGCUUAACACAUGCAAGUCGAACGGAAAGGCCCUGCUUUUGUGGGGUGCUCGAGUGGCGAACGGGUGAGUAACACGUGAGUAACCUGUCCUUGACUUUGGGAUAACUUCAGGAAACUGGGGCUAAUACCGGAUAGGAGCUCCUGCUGCAUGGUGGGGGUUGGAAAGUUUCGGCGGUUGGGGAUGGACUCGCGGCUUAUCAGCUUGUUGGUGGGGUAGUGGCUUACCAAGGCUUUGACGGGUAGCCGGCCUGAGAGGGUGACCGGCCCCAUUGGGCCUGGGAUGCGGCCCAGACUCCUACGGGAGGCAGCGGUGGGGAAUAUUGCACAAUGGGCGGAAGCCUGAUGCAGCAACGCCGCGUGCGGGAUGACGGCCUUCGGGUUGUAAACCGCUUUCGCCUGUGACGAAGCGUGAGUGACGGUAAUGGGUAAAGAAGCACCGGCUAACUACGUG